GACGAACGCUGGCGGCGUGCUUAACACAUGCAAGUCGAACGGAAAGGCCCUGCUUUUGUGGGGUGCUCGAGUGGCGAACGGGUGAGUAACACGUGAGUAACCUGCCCUUGACUUUGGGAUAACUUCAGGAAACUGGGGCUAAUACCGGAUAGGAUCUCCUGCUGCAUGGUGGGGGUUGGAAAGUUUCGGCGGUUGGGGAUGGACUCGCGGCUUAUCAGCUUGUUGGUGGGGUAGUGGCUUACCAAGGCUUUGACGGGUAGCCGGCAUGAGAGGGUGACCGGCGACAUUGGGACUGAGAUACGGCCCAGACUCCUACGGGAGGCAGCGGUGGGGAAUAUUGCACAAUGGGCGGAAGCCUGAUGCAGCAACGCCGCGUGCGGGAUGACGGCCUUCGGGUUGUAAACCGCUUUCGCCUGUGACGAAGCGUGAGUGACGGUAAUGGGUAAAGAAGCACCGGCUAACUACGUG
rnacentral:rRNA from 1 species